GACGUAGGGGGCCAGCGUUGUUCGGAAUUACUGGGUGUAAAGGGUUCGUAGGCGGUGCGGCAAGUUGGGAGUGAAAUCUCUGGGCUUAACCCAGAGGCUGCUUCCAAAACUGCUGUGCUUGAGUGUGGGAGAGGCGCGUGGAAUUGCAGGUGUAGCGGUGGAAUGCGCGGAUAUCAGGAGGAACACCGAUGGCGAAGGCAGCUCGCUGGGACGGUACUGACGCUGAGGCGCGAAAGCGUGGGGAGCGAACAGG
rnacentral:rRNA from 1 species